GAGUUUAACACUUCAUGACUGAGAGCAGAACACAACACAAUCUUCAUCACACAAGACUCAACUACUACAAUGAACAACAUCCUCAUCCUCAUCUGGACUCUGACUCUCUGUAUUCGGGAAAGCUGAGGACAAAUGACAGUGACUCAGAAUCCAGAAAUAAAAUCCAUCAAACAAGGAGAAACUGUUACGAUCAGCUGUAAAACUAGUCAAACACUUACUAGCUGUGGUAACUGUUUGUCUUGGUAUCAGCAGAAACCUGGAGAAGCUCCUAAACUCCUCAUUUAUUACAUAAACAGCCUUCAGUCAGGAACUCCAUCUAGAUUCAGUGGAAGUGGAUCAGGGACUGAUUUCUCUCUGACCAUCAGAGGAGUCCAGACUGAAGAUACAGGAGAUUAUUACUGUCAGAGUGUACACUGUCCUAGUAGCUGUGUGAGGACUUUCGGUGGAGGAACUAAACUGGUGCUCGCUGGUCCCACAGAGAAGCCCUCGGUGUCUCUGCUGCCGCCCUCUUCUCUGCAGAUCUCUGGAGACUCAGCCGCACUGCUCUGCCUGCUCAGCUCUUACUCUCCACAGGGGGCGCAGGUGAGCUGGACGCUGGACGACUCAGAGGUCACCGAGGGGGUCGUGACCAGCGCAGAGAGCGAGCGGGACGGCCUCUACAGCCGCAGUAGCGUCCUGACCCUCAGCAAAGCACGCUGGGAAAAGGGAGAGCAGUACGUCUGCAGAGUAACACAUGAUGGAGCUUCUCGUGACGCCUCGCUCCACAAGAGUCGCUGUUAGUCGCUCGCAGUGCUGAUGUUUCUCUCCUGAAGAUGAGCCGUAUCUGAGUGUCCUGUGUCAGGCAGGAUUCACGUGAGUCUAGUGCUGCAGCUGUAGUCAUUUACUGUAACUCAAGACUGAAAGAGAGCUCUAGUGUCAAAGCACUGGCUGAUCUUUCAAUCUGCUGUGUUUGCUGCAACAUUCAAUAAAGCUUCUCAACAAGC